AUGACGGAUGCUAUAUCGAAAUACUGGUGGGGAGAUGACGACAACCAUAAGCGUAUCCAUUGGGCAGCGUGGUGGAAAGUGUGUAUACCGAAAGAAAGGGGAGGUUUGGAAUUCAGGGAUCUACACAGUUUUAACUUAGCUCUCCUUGCUAAACAAGUUUGGAGGCUGCCUGAGAACCCUGAUUCUCUUUGUUCUCAGGUUUUGAGAGCCAAAUAUUAUCUGGAUGGAAAACUACUGGAUGCCAAGGUGAAAAGUGGAAGCUCGUAUACAUGGCAGAGUAUAUCCGGUAUUAAUACAUUCAGGAGAGGGGCUAUAUGGCGCAUAGGUGAUGGAUCACAAGUGAACCUUUGGGCUGAUUCGUGGAUACAAUCGAGUGCCGAUGGCCGUGUCACUACACCACGAGGAGGGACCCUUCUGUCUAAGGUUUCGAAGUUGAUUGAUCCUGUCACUGGUUUAUGGGAUGAACAAUUGAUAAAUGAUGUAUUUUGGCCGGUCGAUGCGCAUAGGAUUCUUGCCAUACCGCUGGCACCACAUGGGAUGAUGGAAGAUUUUGUGGCCUGGCGGUUUACAAGGAACUUCGCCUUCUCGGUCCGAUCAGCUUAUCAUGUGGAGUGGCAACAUCAAUUUGCACGUUGGUAUGAACGAACAGAGGGGGAGCCAUCUCAGCGUUAUCCGGUGUGGAAGAAGCUCUGGUCUUCGCCCGCCCCAGUUAAGAUUAAGAUCCAUGCUUGGAAGGUCUUACACAGAUUCAUACCAUGUUAUGGGGUAUUGGCAAAUCGCCAUAUUGAUACGUCGGACAGCUGUCCUAUGUGUGUGGGUGGAUGCGAAGAUAUUAUGCACGCUCUCUUCACUUGCCCUAGGGCAGCCGAAGUCUGGAGAUGUCUGAAUCUUGACGGGUUCGUGGAGGAGGCGUGUGAUACAGACAGGCGGGCUCGGCAGCGUUGGACUAUAUUUUAUGUGCUCCUCAAGGCUACGAAGAAGAACGCGGUAGUAAGAUCCUUUGGAUGGAGGAAACCGCAAGAGGAUUUUGUCAAGUUAAAUGCAGAUGCAGCUUUUCAUGCAGAUGACCUCCAGGGAGCUGUAGGAGCUGUGCUACGGGACUGCAGAGGUGGUUUCAUCGCAGCUUCAAAUGAGAGGCUGGAGCAUGUUGCUGAUGUAGGGACGGCGGAAGCACACGCACUACGGCAUGGCAUCUUGUUAGCGCAGCGGAUGGGGAUCACCAAGCUCAUUGUGGAGUCCGACUGCCUUGAGGUGAUUGAUACCAUGAACAAUGGUGGUUUUACGGCAUCGGGCGCAGCUGCGAUCUAUUCGGAUUGUCUGGUCCUUAUCAUAGGUUAUACUUCGGUGUCUUUUGUUCACUGCCCUAAAAAGACAAACUCUGUCGCUCAUGUUUUAGCUAGGCAAGCGGUGUCGGAUCCACCUUCCGUGUGGAUUGAGGAGCCGCCGGCCUUCAUUGUAAAGGGCCUAGUGGAUGAUGUAACUCUGUUUUGA
rnacentral:rRNA from 1 species